rnacentral:rRNA from 1 species
GACGUAGGGCGCGAGCGUUGUCCGGAUUUAUUGGGCGUAAAGAGCUCGUAGGCGGCUUGUCGCGUCGUCCGUGAAAACCUGCGGCUCAACUGCAGGCUGGCGGUCGAUACGGGCAGGCUGGAGUUCGGUAGGGGAGACUGGAAUUCCUGGUGUAGCGGUGAAAUGCGCAGAUAUCAGGAGGAACACCAGUGGCGAAGGCGGCUUCCUGGCCUGCAACUGACGCUGAGACGCGAAAGCGUGGGGAGCGAACCGG